AUUGAACGCUGGCGGUAUGCUUAAGACAUGCAAGUCGAACGGUAACAGGCCCUUCGGGGUGCUGACGAGUGGCGGACGGGUGAGUAACGCGUGGGAAUCUACCUAGUAGCGGGGGAUAGCCCGAAGAAAUUCGGAUUAAUACCGCAUACGCCCUAAGGGGGAAAGGCUUCGGCCACUAUUAGAUGAGCCCGCGUUAGAUUAGCUAGAUGGUGAGGUAAAGGCUCACCAUGGCGACGAUCUAUAGCUGGUCUGAGAGGAUGAUCAGCCACAUUGGGACUGAGACACGGCCCAGACUCCUACGGGAGGCAGCAGUCGGGAAUAUUGGACAAUGGGCGAAAGCCUGAUCCAGCAAUACCGCGUGUGUGAAGAAGGCCUGCGGGUUGUAAAGCACUUUCAGCAGGGAAGAUAAUGACGUUACCUGCAAAAGAAGCACCGGCUAACUCCG
rnacentral:rRNA from 1 species